rfam:Salmo salar isolate Sally breed double haploid chromosome ssa06, whole genome shotgun sequence.
UGCACUCACUACUGUAAGUCGCUCUGGAUAAGAGCUUCUGCUAAAUGACUAAAA